CCCAUACUGGGCAAACAUAUGGAUGGGAACCUACCACGAGGAGAGGUUAGUGCAACCCAGCUGAACAAGAUAUAUGGUAAUGCCCAUUGUUCUCAGUCUCCCUCAGUGCCAGCUCCUUUACAAGUCAUGUAAGGUAAAAGGCAUCAAUUCUGGAUGAACU